GACGAACGCUGGCGGCGCGCUUAACACAUGCAAGUCGAACGGAAAGGCCUGCUUUCCCUUGUGGAUUGCGGGUACUCGAGUGGCGAACGGGUGAGUAACACGUGAGUGAUCUGCCCCCAACUUGGGUAUAAGCCUGGGAAACUGGGUCUAAUUCCCGAUAGGACUGCAGGGUGGUGCCUGUGGUGGAAAACGAUUUUCUAGUGGUUGGGGAUGAGCUCGCGGCCUAUCAGCUUGUUGGUGGGGUAAUGGCCUACCAAGGCGGGGACGGGUAGCCGGCCUGGGAGGGGGGACGGCCACAUUGGGACUGGGAUACGGCCCAGACGCCUACGGGAGGCAGCAGUGGGGAAUAUUGCACAAUGAGCGGAAGCCUGAUGCAGCGACGCCGCGUGGGGGAUGACGGCCUUCGGGUUGUAAACUCCUUUCGACCGCGAGGAAGCCACCUGGUUGGAAGGGUGGUGACGGUAGUGGUAGAAGAAGCACCGGCUAACUACGUG
rnacentral:rRNA from 1 species